GAUGAACGCUGGCGGCGUGCUUGAUACAUGCAAGUCGAACGGAGAGUGUAGCAAUAUACUUUUAGUGGCGAACGGGUGAGUAACGCGUUGGUGACCUGCCCCGAAGCGAGGGAUAACAGUUCGAAAGAACUGCUAAUACCUCAUGUGAUCACCGGUUUUAGAAUCUGGUGAUUAAAGGUGAAAAUCACUUCGGGAGGGGCCUGCGUCCCAUCAGCUAGUUGGUAAGGUAAUGGCUUACCAAGGCGAUGACGGGUAGGGGACCUGAGAGGGUGGCCCCCCACAAUGGAACUGAAACACGGUCCAUACACCUACGGGUGGCAGCAGUAGGGAAUAUUGCAAAUGGGCGAAAGCCUGAUGUGGCAACGCCGCGUGUGCGAUGAAGGUCUUCGGAUUGUAAAGCACUUUUUGGAGGGAAUAGGAAGGAAGGUACCUCCAGAAUAAGUCUCGGCUAACUACGUGCCAAGCAGCCGCGGUAAUCUAGUCUACG
rnacentral:rRNA from 1 species